UAAUACACUCAUGACACUGAAUAUUUGUGAAGUUCAGCAUGUGAUUAAUAUUUAAUAGUUUUAAGCGGGGAAUGACUUUUUAAAUAACUGUGGCUAAUGACUUUCAAUUGUAUGGGAUACGGCAGCCAUUCCACCAUAAAAUCUUGAAUGGUUGCUGCAAAUUCACAUGAAUACAUACCCAUGCUAUAAUUUAAAGGGCCAAACGUGUCCAUCCAUGUGCUUCCUUUUUGGAUCUGUUCAUUGGAACAUUUCCAGCAGCAGGAUGGGCAGAGCAGGUUGGACAGGCAGCUGCUUGUGUCAUCUGUCAGUGUUUUAGGGAGGAUUAGAGGUGAAAUGCUACAGCUGACAGUUCCCCUGGCUGCCUGGACGCCACACAGACACCAGGCCCUUUAAUGGAUCUAAACACCUUGCCAGCAAAUGGAGACGGAACCAUAUGGAACUUCCCUCUGAUACCUGCAGAUGUCAGCAACAGUACAGAAAUCGAACUGUACUGUAAAUGUUUGUAGUGGAUGAGAUGCAGUUGCAGUUGCACUACAGAAUGAUCAAAUAGAGCCGUCUUAUUGGAUGUUAAAAUAUAUACUCAGGGCUGUUACACAAAAGAAAUGAAUUUCAAAAGAUU